rnacentral:rRNA from 1 species
UACAAUGGAGAGUUUGAUCCUGGCUCAGGAUGAACGCUAGCGGCAGGCCUAAUACAUGCAAGUCGAGGGGCAGCACAGGUAGCAAUACUGGGUGGCGACCGGCAAACGGGUGCGGAACACGUACGCAACCUUCCUUCAAGCGAGGGAUAGCCCAGAGAAAUUUGGAUUAAUACCUCAUAGGAAUGUAGUCUCGCAUGAGACAGCAUUUAAAGAUUUAUCA